rnacentral:rRNA from 1 species
GGGUUGUGAGGUUAAGCGACUAAGCGUACACGGUGGAUGCCCUGGCAGUCAGAGGCGAUGAAGGACGUGCUAAUCUGCGAAAAGCGUCGGUAAGGUGAUAUGAACCGUUAUAACCGGCGAUGUCCGAAUGGGGAAACCCAGUGCAAUUCGUUGCACUAUCGUUAACUGAAUACAUAGGUUAACGAGGCGAACCGGGGGAACUGAAACAUCUAAGUACCCCGAGGAAAAGAAAUCAACCGAGAUUCCCCCAGUAGCGGCGAGCGAACGGGGAGCAGCCCAGAGUCUGAAUCAGCUUGUGUGUUAGUGGAACGGUCUGGAAAGUCCGACGGUACAGGGUGAUAGUCCCGUACACCAAAAUGCACAGGUUGUGAACUCGAAGAGUAGGGCGGGACACGUGGUAUCCUGUCUGAAUAUGGGGGGACCAUCCUCCAAGGCUAAAUACUCCUGACUGACCGAUAGUGAACCAGUACCGUGAGGGAAAGGCGAAAAGAACCCCGGCGAGGGGAGUGAAAAAGAACCUGAAACCGUGUACGUACAAGCAGUGGGAGCACCUUCGGGUGUGACUGCGUACCUUUUGUAUAAUGGGUCAGCGACUUAUAUUCUGUAGCAAGGUUAACCGUAUAGGGGAGCCGCAGGGAAACCGAGUCUUAACUGGGCGUUAAGUUGCAGGGUAUAGACCCGAAACCCGGUGAUCUAGCCAUGGGCAGGUUGAAGGUUGGGUAACACUAACUGGAGGACCGAACCGACUAAUGUUGAAAAAUUAGCGGAUGACUUGUGGCUGGGGGUGAAAGGCCAAUCAAACCGGGAGAUAGCUGGUUCUCCCCGAAAGCUAUUUAGGUAGCGCCUCGUGAACUCAUCUUCGGGGGUAGAGCACUGUUUCGGCUAGGGGGUCAUCCCGACUUACCAACCCGAUGCAAACUACGAAUACCGAAGAAUGUUAUCACGGGAGACACACGGCGGGUGCUAACGUCCGUCGUGAAGAGGGAAACAACCCAGACCGCCAGCUAAGGUCCCAAAGUCAUGGUUAAGUGGGAAACGAUGUGGGAAGGCACAGACAGCCAGGAUGUUGGCUUAGAAGCAGCCAUCAUUUAAAGAAAGCGUAAUAGCUCACUGGUCGAGUCGGCCUGCGCGGAAGAUGUAACGGGGCUAAACCAUGCACCGAAGCUGCGGCAGCGACACUAUGUGUUGUUGGGUAGGGGAGCGUUCUGUAAGCCUGCGAAGGUGACCUGUGAGGGUUGCUGGAGGUAUCAGAAGUGCGAAUGCUGACAUAAGUAACGAUAAAGCGGGUGAAAAGCCCGCUCGCCGGAAGACCAAGGGUUCCUGUCCAACGUUAAUCGGGGCAGGGUGAGUCGACCCCUAAGGCGAGGCCGAAAGGCGUAGUCGAUGGGAAACAGGUUAAUAUUCCUGUACUUGGUGUUACUGCGAAGGGGGGACGGAGAAGGCUAUGUUAGCCGGGCGACGGUUGUCCCGGUUUAAGCAUGUAGGCUGGUUGUCCAGGCAAAUCCGGAUAAUCAAGGCUGAGGUGUGAUGACGAGGCACUACGGUGCUGAAGUAACAAAUGCCCUGCUUCCAGGAAAAGCCUCUAAGCAUCAGGUAACAUCAAAUCGUACCCCAAACCGACACAGGUGGUCAGGUAGAGAAUACCAAGGCGCUUGAGAGAACUCGGGUGAAGGAACUAGGCAAAAUGGUGCCGUAACUUCGGGAGAAGGCACGCUGGUGUGUAGGUGAAGUCCCUGCGGAUGGAGCUGAGACCAGUCGAAGAUACCAGCUGGCUGCAACUGUUUAUUAAAAACACAGCACUGUGCAAACACGAAAGUGGACGUAUACGGUGUGACGCCUGCCCGGUGCCGGAAGGUUAAUUGAUGGGGUUAUCCGUAAGGAGAAGCUCUUGAUCGAAGCCCCGGUAAACGGCGGCCGUAACUAUAACGGUCCUAAGGUAGCGAAAUUCCUUGUCGGGUAAGUUCCGACCUGCACGAAUGGCGUAAUGAUGGCCAGGCUGUCUCCACCCGAGACUCAGUGAAAUUGAACUCGCUGUGAAGAUGCAGUGUACCCGCGGCAAGACGGAAAGACCCCGUGAACCUUUACUAUAGCUUGACACUGAACAUUGAGCCUUGAUGUGUAGGAUAGGUGGGAGGCUUUGAAGCGUGGACGCCAGUCUGCGUGGAGCCAACCUUGAAAUACCACCCUUUAAUGUUUGAUGUUCUAACGUUGGCCCCUUACCGGGGUUGCGGACAGUGUCUGGUGGGUAGUUUGACUGGGGCGGUCUCCUCCCAAAGCGUAACGGAGGAGCACGAAGGUUAGCUAAUCCUGGUCGGACAUCAGGAGGUUAGUGCAAUGGCAUAAGCUAGCUUGACUGCGAGCGUGACGGCGCGAGCAGGUGCGAAAGCAGGUCAUAGUGAUCCGGUGGUUCUGAAUGGAAGGGCCAUCGCUCAACGGAUAAAAGGUACUCCGGGGAUAACAGGCUGAUACCGCCCAAGAGUUCAUAUCGACGGCGGUGUUUGGCACCUCGAUGUCGGCUCAUCACAUCCUGGGGCUGAAGUAGGUCCCAAGGGUAUGGCUGUUCGCCAUUUAAAGUGGUACGCGAGCUGGGUUUAGAACGUCGUGAGACAGUUCGGUCCCUAUCUGCCGUGGGCGCUGGAGAAUUGAGGGGGGCUGCUCCUAGUACGAGAGGACCGGAGUGGACGCAUCACUGGUGUUCGGGUUGUCAUGCCAAUGGCACUGCCCGGUAGCUAAAUGCGGAAGAGAUAAGUGCUGAAAGCAUCUAAGCACGAAACUUGCCCCGAGAUGAGUUCUCCCUGAGACUUUAAGUCUCCUGAAGGAACGUUAAAGACGAUGACGUUGAUAGGCCGGGUGUGUAAGCGCAGCGAUGCGUUGAGCUAACCGGUACUAAUGAACCGUGAGGCUUAACCUUACAACGCCGAAGAUGUUA